CCUACGGGUGGCAGCAGUAGGGAAUCUUCCACAAUGGACGAAAGUCUGAUGGAGCCACGCCGCGUGAGUGAAGACGGGCUUCGGCUUGUAAAGCUCUGUUGGUAGUGAGGAAAGAUAGAGGUAGUAUCUCGUCUUUAUUUGACGGUAUUUACUUAGAACGUCUCGGCUAACUCCGUGCCAGCAGCUGCGGUAAUACGUAGGUGGCAAGCGUUGUCCGGAUUUAUUGGGCGUAAAGCGAGGGCAGGCGGUUCAAUAAGUCUGAUGUGAAAGCCUUCGGCUCAACCGGAGAAUUGCAUCUGAAACUGUGGGACUUGAGUGCAGAAGAGGAGGGUGGAACUCCAGGUGUAGCGGUGGAAUGCGUAGAUAUAUGGAAGAACACCGGUGGCGAAGGCGGCUCUCUGGACUGCAACUGACGCUGAGGCUCGAAAGCGUGGGUAGCGAACAGGAUUAGAUACCCUAGUAGUC
rnacentral:rRNA from 1 species